rnacentral:tRNA from 1 species
GCUUCCGUGGCCGAGAGGUAAGGCGUGUCAACGGCAUCGACAGCCCCCGUGCGGAUCUACGGGGCCCUGGUUCGAACCCAGGCAGAAGCA